rnacentral:rRNA from 1 species
AACGGCGGCCGUAACUAUAACGGUCCUAAGGUAGCGAAAUUCCUUGUCAGGUAAGUUCUGACCCGCAUGAAAGGCGUAAUGAUUUGGGCACUGUCUCAACAGCCCGCCCGGCGAAAUUGUAGUACCGGUGAAGAUGCCGGUUACCCGCGACAAGACGGAAAGACCCCAUGGAGCUUUACUGUAGCCUAAUAUUGGGUUUCGAUGUUGCAUGCACAGGAUAGAUGGGACACAGGGAAACAAGUGCUUUGGCAUUUGUGGAGUGGCCGUUGGGAUACCAUCCUUGCGAUAUUGGAAUUCUAACCUGCGCCUUUGAAUCAAGGCGGGGGACAUUGUUAGGUGGGCAGUUUGACUGGGGCGGUCGCCUCCUAAAGAGUAACGGAGGCGUUCAAAGGUUCGCUCAGCUUGAACGGAAAUCAAGCAAAAGAGUGCAAACGCAGAAGCGAGCCUAACUGCGAGACUGACGGGUCGAGCAGUAACGAAAGUUGGAGUUAGUGAUCCGGUGGUAUGUGAGUGGAAAUGCCAUCGCUCAACGGAUAAAAGUUACCCUGGGGAUAACAGGCUGAUCUCCCCCAAGAGUCCACAUCGACGGGGAGGUUUGGCACCUCGAUGUCGGCUCAUCGCAUCCUGGGGCUGUAUUCGGUCCCAAGGGUUUGGCUGUUCGCCAAUUAAAGCGGUACGCGAGCUGGGUUCAGAACGUCGUGAGACAGUUCGGUCCCUAUCUGUCGUGGGCGCAGGAUAUUUGAUGGGAGCUGUUCCUAGUACGAGAGGACCGGAGCGGACGUACCUCUGGCGCACCAGUUGUUCUGCCAAGAGCAUAGCUGGGCAACUAUGUACGGAUCGGAUAAACGCUGAAAGCAUCUAAGCGUGAAGCCGACCCAAAGAUAAGAUAUCCCAUUGUUUCAAACAAGUAAGACCCCUUGAAGACUACAAGGUUGAUAGGCACGAUGUGUAAGUGGAGUGAUCCAUUCAGCAAGCGUGUACUAAUAGGUCGAGGGCUUGACCAC